rnacentral:lncRNA from 1 species
CGACUACCUGACGCCCUCCCCCUCCUCCUUUAUCCGGGCUUGGGACUGGCAAUGUAAGAUAAACUUACACGGCGGAGUUAACAUCAGCUAUAUCCAUAGAAAACAAAUCAUCCAUCGUGUCCUUAUUUGUUAUGCUACUUUUUUUACAGUUUCAUAGAAAACAAAUUGAUCGCUUUCACUUUUGGAAGCAACUAAACUCUUUUACCAAAUCAAAAUCUCUUUUUCAAGUUUUAAUAUUUCACUUUAGUUUUUUGUUUUUGCCUUAUUGAAUGGGUAGUAUUGUUAUUUUGGAGACAUGCUACAUGAAUGCAUUUAUAUAUUGUUGUACUAACAAAAUAUAAAUUUUCAAUUUCAGAUAGGAAUGAGUAUAGCGGGAGCCUUGUGCACUGGGUACGACCUUUAGAUAGGAAUGAGUAUAUUUCCAUUCCAAAGUUUGGGUCCAUUUGAAGCUAGCAAAAAAAAUUAAGUUUGUGGAGCAAAAAAUUAGAUAUUUUCAAAUCUGAUUUUCAGUUUUCUCAUUUGCACUGCAUAUUGGUUGAUGCAUUGAUAAGAAAAAUAUCUACUUACACUUUUCAAAUGUAAAUAUUAGUUAACUAAUUUUUUAGUUUAACGGCUGUUUGUUUGGAUGCAUAAAAAUCUUUUUUUUUUUCAAAUGUCCUUUUGAAUGGAUAAUCAAAUCGAUAUAGAUUUUGUUUUUAUCCUUUGCUUUAUCUGUUUAUCUUACUUAUUUGAGCUAAACGCAAAUCCCAAUAUUACAUAGUUAAGCCUGAAAUUAGAACACAAUUUCUUUACAUGAAACUGAAGUUUUCUCUAAUUGAGAACUUUCUUUUUGUUCAAAUUGUGUUACAAAUUUUGUGUUUUUUUUUCUUUUAACAGGUGGACUUAAAAGAGAUCAAGUAUGCAGGGGAUUGGUAGGGGAUUGGUAGGAUCAACAUAUAAGAGGUAGAGGUCAACUCUUUCUCUGAUGUUAACUUCUACUAUGAUCUUUUUGUUAUUAAAUUUUGGUGGAAAACAUUGUUUAGUAUAAACCUUAUCACAAUACAAUAGGAAGAUGGAUUAGAAAUAGAGAGAUAUUAAUUUGAUUUUCUGUUUACUUUAGCGAUUCUGGAUAAUGAUCAUGAAUGUUGGUAAUAUUGCAUCUCUGUUUUUUUUUUUUUUCUUUUACACCACGAUUAUGCAUAUUGUUUGUUUCAAGCAUGUUAUUGUGAUAGCUAAAUGAUUCAUAUUGCAGAACAUGCUUAAAAAAUUAUAGCUUUAACUGAUCACUCAUCUUUAAUCUCUCUCCCUCCCUCCCUCUCACUAUUGCAGUAACUCCCGUUGUAUUCCAUUUGCUUUUGUUGUUGCCGGUCUGCAAGUAAAUCUUUAAUUUCCAUACAAAGUUUGCAUUUUUCUAUUCCUGACACAAUUAUUUCAUACUAAGUUUUUUUUUCAAGUUGGUGUGUGAGUGCAUUUUCCACUGAUCUUUUUGUUGAACUCUCACUAAGUUCCGAUUUUGAUCACAAUAUUCUUUGAAUUUUCUCCUCUGUCCUAUGUUCCACUUAUUUCAACUUCCAAUUUCUCCACAUUAAAUCUUCAUGGUUUAAGGGCAUUGUUCUAAUAUUAUAUUAUUUUAUUUAUUUUAACAAAAUUGUAGACCGUAUACUUCUACCAAAAUAAGAGAAAAAAAUGUGUGAUUGUCUGCAAAGCACUUACCAAAGACAGAAAUAUAAUAUGUAAGUAAAUCUUUUGUAUGUUUACAUUUUAAAUUUUCCAGAUUGGGUAAUGAAUAUGAUUAAAUUUAUUCCAGCAGCUUCUAUCAUGCAAAUAUGAUUGAUAAACUUGACGUUUAUCGCAUUAACUUUCUCUGCAAUGCAUGACAUGUUUUUGGUUUUCUAGCUACUGAGUAUGGAACGCCAAAGAACCCACUUAAUUAGGUAACUCCACAUAUUUUGAGAGAUUUUUUUUUUUUAAAUUUAUUUUUGGUUAGUUGUAUAUUUCGAUUUUGCUUCUCUUGAGGUAAAAAUGAGAUUAUCGACUCUCGCUAAAUAACUGUCUUUCGAUUUGUUUUCAUUUUAUGUGUUCCUUCAAUAAACAGCUACAUAUCAACAUCAACAACAUCAACGGUGUGUUGCCAAUUCAAUUUGCAAGGAAGCUUUUGAAAAUGCUCAGGGAGAACAAGAGGUCAGAAAUUUCGUGUGGAUUUUAUACUUUGGAAAACGUUCUACUCCUGUGCAUAUUUGAUUUUUAUGAGGUCAAAUAGGUUAUGUAUUAGUUGUGUGUGUUGACGUAGGGAUGUUGGGUUGUUUGAGUUGAUCCUAGCUGAUUUUGAUAUUACUGAUUCGUCAGGGCAAUUAAGUUGAUUGAAUUCGAUUUUGAAGCUUGGGAAGAGAAUUGGUUCUCAAAGUUUGAUUUUCAUGUGUUUGGUUUUUGGUUUAAUCAAUUCUUUGCUGAAAAGUUGUAUUCCGUUGAGCUACGAUUUUUUGUACGUUGGCUUUAUCCAUUUAAUCUUUGGUACAUGAACAUCUUUCUAACAUUUUCAAUGUAAAUAUUAUUAAUCUUCUAUCACAAUGAGCAAUCUUUUAUAUCUUUCAAACAUAAUCUUUCUCCCGCAACAACGCGCGGGUAGCAUUUUCUAGUUAU